rnacentral:rRNA from 1 species
UACGGGAGGCAGCAGUGGGGAAUAUUGCACAAUGGGCGCAAGCCUGAUGCAGCCAUGCCGCGUGUAUGAAGAAGGCCUUCGGGUUGUAAAGUACUUUCAGCGGGGAGGAAGGCGACAGGGUUAAUAACCCUGUCGAUUGACGUUACCCGCAGAAGAAGCACCGGCUAACUCCGUGCCAGCAGCCGCGGUAAUACGGAGGGUGCAAGCGUUAAUCGGAAUUACUGGGCGUAAAGCGCACGCAGGCGGUCUGUNAAGUCNGAUGUGAAAUCCCCGGGCUCAACCUGGGAACUGCAUUUGAAACUGGCAGGCUAGAGUCUUGUAGAGGGGGGUAGAAUUCCAGGUGUAGCGGUGAAAUGCGUAGAGAUCUGGAGGAAUACCGGUGGCGAAGGCGGCCCCCUGGACAAAGACUGACGNUCAGGUGNGAAAGCNUGGGGAUGCAAAGCAGG